UACGUAGGGCGCAAGCGUUGUUCGGAUUUACUGGGCGUAAAGCGCACGUAGGCGGAUCGUUAAGUCGGGGGUGAAAUCCUGGAGCUCAACUCCAGAACUGCCUUCGAUACUGGCGAUCUUGAGUCCGGAAGAGGUGAGUGGAACUCCUAGUGUAGAGGUGGAAUUCGUAGAUAUUAGGAAGAACACCAGUGGCGAAGGCGGCUCACUGGUCCGGUACUGACGCUGAGGUGCGAAAGCGUGGGGAGCAAACAGG
rnacentral:rRNA from 1 species